rnacentral:rRNA from 1 species
UACAGAGGGUGCAAGCGUUAAUCGGAUUUACUGGGCGUAAAGCGUGCGCAGGCGGCUUUGCAAGACAGAUGUGAAAUCCCCGGGCUUAACCUGGGAACUGCAUUUGUGACUGCAUGGCUGGAGUGCGGCAGAGGGGGAUGGAAUUCCGCGUGUAGCAGUGAAAUGCGUAGAUAUGCGGAGGAACACCGAUGGCGAAGGCAAUCCCCUGGGCCUGCACUGACGCUCAUGCACGAAAGCGUGGGGAGCAAACAGG